GGCCAGACUCCUACGGGAGGCAGCAGUGAGGAAUAUUGGUCAAUGGGCGGGAGCCUGAACCAGCCAAGUCGCGUGAAGGAAGAAGGUACUUAGUAUUGUAAACUUCUUUUGUCAGGGAACAAAGGCGGAGACGCGUCUCCGGAUGAGUGUACCCGAAGAAAAAGCAUCGGCUAACUCCGUGCCAGCAGCCGCGGUAAUACGGAGGAUGCGAGCGUUAUCCGGAUUUAUUGGGUUUAAAGGGUGCGCAGGCGGAUUUUUAAGUCAGCGGUCAAAUCGUGGGGCUCAACCCCAUCCAGCCGUUGAAACUGGCAGUCUCGAGUUGGAGAGAAGUAUGCGGAAUGCGCGGUGUAGCGGUGAAAUGCAUAGAUAUCGCGCAGAACUCCGAUUGCGAAGGCAGCAUGCCGGCUCCACACUGACGCUGAGGCACGAAAGCGUGGGUAUCGAACAGGAUUAGAUACCCGCGUA
rnacentral:rRNA from 1 species